GAUGAACGCUGGCGGCGUGCUUAACGCAUGCAAGUCGAACGGAAAGGCUCCUGCUUGUAGGGGUACUCGAGUGGCGAACGGGUGAGUAACACGUGGGUGAUCUGCCCUGCACUUCGGGGUAAGCCUGGGAAACUGGGCCUAAUCCCGGAUAGGACGAUGGCUUGGAUGCAAUGGUGGAAAGUUUUUCGGUGUGGGCUGAGCGGGCGGCCAAUCAGCUUGUUGGUGGGGUAAUGGCCUAACACGGCGUAGACGGGUAGCCGGCCGGAGAGGGUGUACGGCGACAUUGGGACUGCGAUACGGCGCAGACUCCUACGGUAGGCAGCAGUGGGGAAUAUUGCACAAUGGGCGCAAGUCUGAUGCAGCGACGCCGCGUUUGGGAUGACGGCCUUCUGGUUGAAAACUCCUUUCGCUAGGGACGAAGCUCAAGUGACGGUACCUGGAGAAUAAGCACCGGCUAACUACGUG
rnacentral:rRNA from 1 species